AGUCUUCAUGCCCCUCCCCUUUUGCAGCAGCCUCCUCUGUUGUCAUGUGAGUCCAGGAGGUUCCCUAGGUGUGGGUAAGGGUGUUUAUCAAAAGUCCUGGUAUAAAGUCCCAGCCCCAGCUCUGAGGCUGCUCUGCCCUCAAUUGCUCUGGAGCCGAGAAUCGAGAACCAUGGCACCCAGGAUCUUUGGUGAGGAUCCACGGGGCACUCCGGCCCCAAGCUUCUGUCUCGUCACAUCCCCAGUGCACUUCUGAACCGCAAACGUAAUGCUCUCUCGCCUGCUCAACUCUUGGCUUCCUACUUGGUAAUCAUCCCCAGCUCCUGUGUGUUAGUCUUCCCUCUCCUCCAGUGCUCAAGGACAGUCACAGCAGAAAGAUGUUUUCUCAUUGAGAAAGAUACCGAAGAAAAUCAACUUCCACUAUGGCGGCUCAGAAAGGAAGGCUGGGGCAGACAUCAGAGUCUGUGCGGUGAAGAGUCUGGGGUUCACACCUUUGAGAGGCCUUGUCUGACUGCCACUUGAUGUUCCCAACAUGCUCCAUUUUGGGGUCUGCCCAUCGUCUCAGUCAUUGCUCCUUGUCCUCCUGUCCCUCCAUCCUCAUUCUCCACCCUUGCUGAUACAUGUUAGGCAAUCACCUCAGGGAGGUGCCCUGUACCAGAGGUACCCUUGAUUCUUGACCUGCUCUAUGCAACACCUUUUGCGAUUAAAUAUCCACGGGCUUCUGUUGCAAAAA